ensembl:lncRNA
CAAAUGCUGCAGAUAAUAUUUAGACAAUAUUUUUGUCUCCUGGUGAUAUCCCUUUUCAGCAACACUGACAUUUUGGGUUGAUGUCCGUUGCGAAGAACAGCAAUCAAUAUAUUUAGCAGCUUUUUCUGUGCCACAAGAUAUCUACAGAGGAUUCCAACACUUCAGAGACUUAUUCCAGCAAUAAACAUCUAUUAGCAAUGAUGGCAACAGCACAGAACAGAACAGAGAGACAACCCUGCUGCUGCUUCUGACUCAGCCUCCAGCCUGGGCUCCUUGGAAAUCAGGCAAACCCAUCUGUGGCUUCGCAGCAUCCCAGCCGGAGGAACAGCAUGUACAUGCACUGCACGUGUAACACUGCUCUUAAAAUCAGC